ACUGGGGGGGCACCACAGGCUGUGGGGGGACAACAGGCUGCGGGGGGCACAACAGGCUGGGGGGGGCACAACAGGCUGUGGGGGGGGGCCGCAACGGGCUGUCGGGGCACAACAGGCAGUGGGGGCACCACAGCCUGUGGGGGGGCACAACAGGCUGCGGGGCGACAACAGGCUGUCUGUGGGGGGGACAACAGGCUGUGGGAGCAGCACAGGCCGGUCAGAGCAGCACAGAUCCGAGGCAGCAGGGGUGCCAGGAGGAAGCCGUCCAGGGCCGUUGGCGAGCGCAGGCAGUGGCGCGGCGCAGCGCACGCAGUGGGCGUGCAGCAGGCCUCGGGAGCACGGCAGGCAGCGGGCGCGCGACAGGCGGCGGGAGCACAGCAGGCAGUGAGAGGACAGCAGGCGUUGGGCUCGCAACCGGCAGUGGGGAGGCAACAAGCCGUGGCAGCACAACAGGCAGUGGGAGCAGCAGAGGCCGGUCAGAGAAACGCAGAUCCUCGGCAGCAGCGUCGGCCAACGGGAGCACGGCGGGCCAGGGGAGCAUGGCGGCCUGAGGAAGCAGCACGGGCCGGUGGGAGCGGCGCACGUCGGUCAGAGCAGCACGGACCCUAGGGAGCAGCGGUGGCCAGAGGGAGCAGCGCAGGCCGAUGGAGCUCUGGUGGCUUGAGGAAGCAGCCCGGGCCAGUCAGAGCGGCGCAGGGGAGUGUGUGCAACGCAGGUCGGACGGAGCAGCUCAGGCCAUAGGGUGCAGCGGUGGCCAGACGGGCAGCGAAGGCAGCGGGCGCAACACAGUCUGUGGUGGCAGUGCAGGCCUCGGGCGCAGAGCAUGUCGUCGGCGCCGCGCAGGCAGUGGGCGCACAGCGGGCUGCGGGCCCGCAGCGGGCAGUGGAGGACAACAGGCAGUGGGAGCAGCACAUGCGGUCGGAGCAGCACCGACCUUAGGCAGCAGAGGCGGCCAGGGGGUGAAGCGGAGACCAGAGGCAGCGCAGGCGGGAGAGAACAGGGCAGGUCGGAUGGAGCAGCACAGGCCAUAGAGCGCGGCGGUGGCCAGACGGUCAGCGAAGGCGGUGGGCGCAGGAGAGAUCGCGGGCGCAGCGCAGGCAGCGGGCCCACAGCGCGCAGCGGACGCUCAACAGGCCGCGGGAGCUCGGAAGCCAGCGGGCGCACAAAGGGCAGCGGGCACGCAACGGGCAGGGGGAUCUUCAAAAGGCAGUGGGAGCCCGACAGGCAGUGGGAGCAGCACAGGCCGGGCAGAGCAGCACGCAGCAUCGGCAGCAGCGGUGGCCAACGGGAGCGCGGCAGGCGAACGGAGCAUGGUGGCCUGAGGAAGCAGCACGGGCCAGUGGGAGCAGCGCAGGUCGAUCAGAGCAGCGAGGAUCACAGGGAGCGGUGGUGGCNNGAGGGAGCAGCGCAGGCCAAUGGAGCGGCGGGGGCUUAAGGAAGCAGCCCAGGCCAGGCAGAGCAGCGCACGUCACUGUGCGUAGCGCAGGUCGGUCAGAGCAGCGUAGACCGGAGGCAGCAGCGGUGGCCAGAGGGAGCAGCGGUGCCCGGAGGGCACGGCGCAGGCCAGAGGAUGCAGUGCAGGCCAAAGGGCUGCGGUGGCCGACGAACCAGCACAGGCCAGUGGGAGCAGCACAGGUCGCCGUGGGGUGAGCAGGUUGGGGAGCAGCACAGGGCACAGGCAGCAGCAGUGGCCUCAGGGAGUAUUGCAGGCAGUGGGCACAGCGCAGGCUGCGGGAAUACGGCAGGCAGUAUGAGUACAACAGGCGGGGGGUGGGGUACAACUGGGGGGGCACCACAGGCUGUGGGGGGACAACAGGC
ensembl:lncRNA